rnacentral:lncRNA from 1 species
UUCUGAAGGUCGACGUUACCUCGAUCCACGAUCACUUAGAUAAGGUGAUAGCGGUGCAAAAUAUGCUUGGUGCACUGACGGGAUUUCGGCUCCUUGGCUUGAGCAAUGGCUCCAGUAUUGUCACAGUAUAACAAGAUAGGGCCAUCAAUGGAGGGUGCCACUCUGAUCUCAUCGAUAAACUUUCGCAACCAUACAGCUUCCUUCGU